UACGUAGGGUGCGAGCGUUGCCCGGAUUUAUUGGGCGUAAAGGGCGCGUAGGCGGCUCGGCACGUCCGUUGUGAAAUCGCCCGGCUCAACUGGGCGGGGUCAGCGGAUACGGUCGAGCUUGAGCAAGCUAGGGGGUAAUGGAAUUCCCGGUGUAGUGGUGGAAUGCGUAGAUAUGCGGAGGAACACCGAUGGCGAAGGCAAUCCCCUGGACCUGUACUGACGCUCAUGCACGAAAGCGUGGGGAGCAAACAGG
rnacentral:rRNA from 1 species